GCCUUGGUGGUGUGAUUGAAAGCACGUCCGACUAACAAUCGGGAGGUACAGAGUUCGAAUCCCGGCGAAGUCA
rnacentral:tRNA from 1 species